rnacentral:rRNA from 1 species
UACGUAGGGGGCAAGCGUUGUCCGGAAUCAUUGGGCGUAAAGAGCGUGUAGGCGGCCAGAUAAGUCCGCUGUGAAAUCUCGAGGCACAACUUCGAGCUGUCGGUGGAAACUGUCUGGCUAGAGUCCGGAAGAGGAGAAUGGAAUUCCUGGUGUAGCGGUGAAAUGCGCAGAUAUCAGGAAGAGCACCCGUGGCGAAGGCGGUUCUCUGGGACGGUACUGACGCUGAGACGCGAAAGCGUGGGGAGCGAACAGG